rnacentral:ncRNA from 2 species
GUUGAGCUUGACUCUAGU